rfam:Myotis davidii contig5655, whole genome shotgun sequence.
GAGACAGCCCUAUGGAGCAGGACUUGCUUCAGUGAGGCUUUGGUGCUCACUGAGUCUGACCCUUGAAUCUGUUGCU